rnacentral:misc_RNA from 1 species
GAAAUGCGAUACUUAAUGUGAAACGCAACGCAGUGUGAAUCAUCAAGGUUUCGAACGCACAUUGCGCUAUUCCAGUCUUCUGGAACAGCAUGCCUGUUUGAGCAUCGUUUCAAAACUCAACCUUCCCCCCAAACGGGGUGUUGUUGGUUGGACGCUGAGUGCCCUACUUUCGCAAGGGAGUAGGCCACUUGAAAUGGAGACCCCUUUCUGGAUAUCCUGCAUCAUCGGAUCAGGCUUCUUGUGCUGUGACGGAGAUUCAUCUCCCCCGACACUCGAAUGCAUACUUGAUUCAAGCGUGGUAUCAAUUCAAGGAAAGGAUCGUCACUACCAAUUCAAGCUCUCACGAGCCGCGAAUUCUCAAAUCGCGAUCUCAAAUCAGGUAAGGCCACCCGCUGAACUU